rnacentral:tRNA from 1 species
GGGCGAGUGGUGGAAUGGUUUACACGCAUCUCUCAAAAAGAUGUGGACGCAAGUCCGUGUGGGUUCGACUCCCACCUCGCCCA